UACGAAGGGGGCGAGCGUUGUUCGGAAUUACUGGGCGUAAAGGGCGCGCAGGCGGCCUUAGAAGUCAGAUGUGAAAGCCCCGGGCUCAACCUGGGAAUGGCAUUUGUGACUGUAGAGCUGGAGUGCGGCAGAGGGGGAUGGAAUUCCGCGUGUAGCAGUGAAAUGCGUAGAUAUGCGGAGGAACACCGAUGGCGAAGGCAAUCCCCUGGGCCUGCACUGACGCUCAUGCACGAAAGCGUGGGGAGCAAACAGG
rnacentral:rRNA from 1 species